rnacentral:ncRNA from 1 species
CAAAGGUUUGAUCCUGGCCUUACUGUUAAUUGUAAUUAGAUCUACACAUGCAAGUUUCCGCUGCCCGGUGAGAAUGCCCUCAAAAUUAGAACAAAUUAAGAAUAAAUUAACAGGAGCGGGUAUCAGGCACACUAUAAGUAGCCCAUAACGCCUUGCUUAACCACACCCCCACGGGACACAGCAGUGACUAAUAUUAAGCUAUAAACGAAAGUUUGACUAAAUCAUAAUUAACUAGGGUUGGUAAAUCUCGUGCCAGCCACCGCGGUCAUACGAUUAACCCAAAUUAACAGACAAACGGCGUAAAGCGUGUUUAAGCUAAAACACACAAUAAAGCUAAGAUCUGACUAAACUGUAAUACGUUCUAGUUAACAUCAAAAUACACAACCAAAGUGGCUUUAAUCAUGCUGAACACACUACAGCUAAGGGACAAACUGGGAUUAGAUACCCCACUAUGCUUAGCCUUAAACCAAGAUAAUUAAAUAACAAAAUUAUUCGCCAGAGAACUACUAGCCAACGCUUAAAACUCAAAGGACUUGGCGGUGCCCUAAACCCACCUAGAGGAGCCUGUUCUAUAAUCGAUAAACCCCGAUAAACCCUACCUUUUCUUGCCAAUACAGCCUAUAUACCGCCAUCGUCAGCUAACCCCAACAGGGAUAAAAAGUAAGCGAGAUCAUUAAUCAUAAAAACGUUAGGUCAAGGUGUAGCAUAUGAAAGGGGAAGUAAUGGGCUACAUUUUCUAAAUUAGAACAUAACGAAUUAUCUCAUGAAACCUGAGCAAUAUGAAGGAGGAUUUAGUAGUAAAUUAAGAAUAGAGAGCUUAAUUGAAAUAGGCAAUAGGGCGCGCACACACCGCCCGUCACCCUCCUCGACAAAACCCUAGAAAUAACUAAUAAGACAAAACACAAAAGAGGAGAAAAGUCGUAACAUGGUAAGUGUACUGGAAGGUGCACUUGGAACAU